GCAUCUGAAUCUUCCCUGCUCCUGGUGAUACAGUGCUGGACUGGGGACAUGGAAUGCAACAGGAAGGCAGAGGAAAUCCAGAUGAGCUCCCUUUCACCACAGUGGGACUUGUCUCUACACCUUUGCAACAUUU
rfam:Calypte anna contig109750, whole genome shotgun sequence.